rnacentral:rRNA from 1 species
AUUGAACGCUGGCGGCAGGCCUAAUCCAUGCAAGUCGGGCGAGCCGCGGACGGGUGAGUAUAGUAUGGGGAUUUGCCUGAUGGAGGGGGAUAACUACUGGAAACGGUAGCUAAUACCGCAUAACAUCAGAUGAACCCAUAUGAGAUUAGCUUGUAGGUAAGGUAACGGCUUACCUAGGCGACGCACCCUAGCUGGUCUGAGAGGAUGAUCAGCCACACUGGGACUGAGACACGGCCCAGACUCCUACGGGAGGCAGCAGUGGGGAAUAUUGCACAAUGGGCGCAAGCCUGAUGCAGCCAUGCCGCGUGUAUGAAGAAGGCCUUCGGGUUGUAAAGUACUUUCAGUCGGGAGGCGUUACCGACAGAAGAAGCACCGGCUAACUCCGUGCCAGCAGCCGCGGUAAUAC